UACGUAGGGGGCGAGCGUUGUCCGGAGUUACUGGGCGUAAAGGGCAUGCAGGCGGUCGGACGCGUUUCGGGUGACAGCGGGUGGCUUAACUACCCGAGUGGUCGAAAGACGGUUUGACUUGAGGACGCGAGAGGGACACGGAAUUCCGGGUGGAGUGGUGAAAUGCGUAGAGAUCCGGAGGAACACCGAAGGCGAAGGCAGUGUCCUGGCGUGUAACUGACGCUGAGGUGCGAAAGCCAGGGGAGCGAACGGG
rnacentral:rRNA from 1 species